GGGGCUGUGGUUCAGUGGUAAAAUGCUUGCCUAGCAUGCAUGAGGCACUGGAUUCAAUCCUCAGCACCA
rnacentral:tRNA from 1 species